CUAUUACUCUGGCUAGGGUGUCGACCCUGACGCACGGCAACGUCCUUGACGCGUCGUAUGCCCAAUCCCCAAGUCUCUCUCGUUAUCAACUAAAGGCGUUGGCCGUCUGCUUCAAGGACUGGAAGAAGGUAAACGCAAUCGCACUAUCCGAAAACUGUACAUUGGUGGCAUUUGACGUCAGCUAUUUUGCACAUUCCGAAACUUCCAUUUUUGUUCGUGUCUUUCGAUACUAUGUGGAAAACUGAGUUCUACCGCCCUGAGCUGCUAGGAAUAGGUAAAUCUGCCGGCGUUUAUCGAGGAAAGUGUAAUAGUAAAGAUUGCGCAGUGAAAAGAGUUCAACGAGAAAAAGUCAAAGAAUGCGAAGAAAAGGUUAUGGAAAAUUUGAAAGGUCAUCCAAACAUCGUCGAGCUUCUCUAUUGUGAAACAGUAGGAGAAUUCGUUCACUACGUAUUGGAAUUGUGUGUGACCUCAUUAGAAAAGCUAUUCCUGAAACCGGAUGACCCCAAAAGAUACAAAGGACCGCCCAUGCCAUCAAUUAGCUUUAGGUCUCGAGUACAUCCAUUCGAAGAACUUAAUUCAUCGAGACAUUAAACCGGAAAACAUCCUUAUCUCGGUGCGAGGCGCCGGCCAAGACGCCAAGAUAACAAUCAAGUGGGCAGACUUUGGGCUGUCCAGAGAAGUGAAUAAAGGGGGAAGCUUCUCGACCAACGGUGGAGUUAUAGUAAUAACAUAGUAAUUCCAGACACAAAUUGACGGAGAAUCGCGAAAGUCUUACGCCGAUGACUUACUAGAAAAAAUGUUAGUAGACGAACCCAGAGAAAGGAUGACAUCGACAGAAGUCAUCACACAAUUGGAAAGUGUAAUGAAAAAUGAGAGCUUAUCUUCUUCUGUUCAGCUUGAAGACUACAUCAAAGCCAUAAUUCGUCCCAGAAUAGACGUGCACGCCGAACAAAACACAAUCGUCAACCCAGAAAAGGCUUUGAAAUAUAUGCAAGGAUUCGAAAUUCAGUUGGAGCGUAGGGCUGAAUUAGGAAUGGAGGCCUUUAGCUCCGUGUUCAGAGGCGAGUUUAAAAGCCGUCCAGUCGCAGGAAAAAGAAUUGCAAUCUAUCACAACAUAAUAGAAAAAGAAGCUAUGCUGACGCUAGACCACCCAAUUGUUGUCAAACUUUGCAUUGUGAAAGUGAUGACGACUUCAGGUACUUUGCAUUGGAAUUGUGCGCUGCUUCACUAGAUCAGCUGUUUCUACAGUCGAAUGAUCCCAGAAAAUACAACAGACCUGUGCCACGUCAAAUCGAAGUUUUUCGCCAAUUAGCUUUAGGUCUCGAACACAUCCAUUCAAAACAUCUCAUUCACAGAAAUAUUAAACCUAGCCAUGCCCUCAUUAUGCGGAGUUCUAGCCGAAAUGAAGAGACAAUAAUCAAAUGGGCUGAUUUCGGACUGUCUAGACCCGUAAGCGAAGGAAGACGUACACGUUGAGUGAUGGAGUAAAAGGAACAAGAAAUUGAUUCGCACCCGAGCAGCUGAAACAGUUGACAAACGCGCAAACGGAAUGUAUGCUUCGAUGCACGGUCAAGAGCGAAGUGUUCUCCCUAGGCCUAGUCUUUGGCUAUGAAUGGAAAACAUCUCUACGGUUCCAACCCACUUGAAAUUCAUAACAACGUAAUCGGAGACAAUCCGAUCAACAUGCAACCAAUUGACGGCAAGGUGCGGGAAUCUUAUGCAGCUGACUUAUUUAAAAAAAUGUUAUAAAGCGAUCCUAGCCAAAGCAUGACAUCGACAGAAGUCGAAAAACUAAAAUCACCUCGAAUGGCCAACCAUAAAUGUCAAGCGAGUAGGCUAUUAACUGAGAGACGCAGUUGACAAUAGCGUGGUGGAAAUCACGCCAUGAAUGAUAGAUCUGUGCUUUGUCACCAUUGAAUAAUGAAUAAGCCUUAACUUAAAA